UCCCUCCCGUAACCCUACCUCCUCCUCUCCUCUGAGCCGCCGCCGCCGGUCCUCCUCCUCUCCUCUGCGCCGCCGCUGCCCGUCCUCCACCUCUCCUCUGCGCUGCCGCUGCCCGUCUUCCUCCUCUCCUCUGCGUGGCCGCCGCCCGUCCUCCUCCUCUCCUCUGCGCCGCCUCCCUCCGCCGCUCGUGCCGCCGCUUCCUUGUCGAGCUUGACGUCCUCAGGAGGAGAGGAAGCUGGCGCUGCUCUUCCCGAGGAACGCGCCGUUGCGCCAUCGAUAGGAGAAGGCCAGGCGGAGCGCGCCGUCGCCACCGGCUGGCGCGUCGACGGGAGGAGGCCAGGCGGGGUGCGCCGUUGCCACCGGCCGCGCCGUGGGUGACUCCUCUGCCACCUCACUUCUCCUCCUCAUCCUCUCCCCGUCACGGCGCAGCUCGGACAUGCCGCGGGUACAUAUCAAGAGGGGAUGGAGGAGCCGGACAUGGAUGUAGAGAAGGCGGCCAGACCCGAGUUCGUCCACCCCUGCUAUGCUAAAUUUGAUGACUAGCAGGAAGUGAGCCCAGCCCAGCAUAAUUUCUUAGUUGGACUCAUUGCUUGUCUGUCAGUUUGUCCAAUUGAAUGUUUCUUGCUUGAUUCCACUUUCAUUACAAGUCUCGUCUUUAACCAGUUAUUGCUUUCUUAGUUGCAGCAUUGUAAAUCCGCUGAAUUGAUCAGAUAAUACGGAUGGACGAGGUCACACAAGCCGUUGAAAACUUGAAAAAGGAAUGGAGCCAAGCAGUUGCACAGCUUGAGGUGUGCAGUGCUGCAAUUGAAUCUUGUGGGAAGAUGGGAAAAGGGACAGAAGAAGCAAUGUCUCUUCCUGGUUGAACGGUUCUGCGCAGGAUGGACUGCAGUGCAGACUUGAUCUUCUGGCAGAGCAGCUACCCACUUUUGAAGAAGUUCAGUCUGGACAGGCAACCCUAGGCUCAUGGAAGGACCAAUAUCAGAGGCUGCGUGUGAGCCUGAGGAAUGCUAACUUACAAGCAAAAGCGAACAUUGGAAAGGCUGCUCAAGAAGAGAGGGAGCUUCUUCUGGGAGGUGGAGAAGAGUCCACUAUCCGGAGGCGUAAUCUCCAGUAGAGGGAGCUAGCUUGCCUGUAAUAUAAGGCGCGGAAAGAAGAGGCCUGUCGACCCAGGACUCGCAUCCUUGUGUUGGCACCUCGAUGAGGAGCAUCCCUUCGAGCCUAACACCAUGGUUUGUACCCCGGGCCCCAGGUGCUCAACUGGUUGAUGGUAGCUAUGCUACAUAUUUUGCUCUUCACAAACAGGCUGCCCUAUGUUGCUGCUGUUUAUUCGCUCAUCCAGUUCAUUUAUAAUGGUAUGAAGCUCUGCCCAUAAACCUGGGUUCAAGUGGUUGGUGGCCGGUUCUGUGUUCAAUGGACAAGGCUAUCUAUCUAAAAUAGUUAACUAUAUAGCUUACUACUAUGCUUUGUUAAAGCAGUGUAAAUUAGUUACAGUGAACAAUCUUUGUGGCCUUUUUUGGUACAACAUACUAAACCCUGAUGUGUUUAGUAUGCAAAAAGGCACCAUUGGCACACAUGGACUUUUGUUUUUUGAACCUAUGGAAUAUGAACCAUGUCUUACUGGGUUUGAUAUGGCUGGGGGCAAGAGGGGUGUGACAACAUGCAAUUCCAAAUUUUCAUGGGUCAUAUGUAAUGCUUUGGUGUGUUACACUGCACUGAAACUACAUCGCUAUGUUUAUAAUUUAUAUGCACUGCUUUAGUUGCUUUUC